rnacentral:rRNA from 1 species
CGGAGGGUGCAAGCGUUAUCCGGAUUUACUGGGUUCAAAGGGUGCGCAGGCGGAUAUGUAAGUCAGUGGUGAAAUCUCCGGGCUUAACCCGGAAACUGCCGUUGAUACUAUAUAUCUUGAAUGCUGUGGAGGUAAGCAGAAUAUGUCAUGUAGCGGUGAAAUGCUUAGAGAUGACAUAGAAUACCUAUUGCGAAGGCAGCUUACUACGCAGAUAUUGACGCUCAUGCACGAAAGCGUGGGGAUCAAACAGGAUUAGAUACCCUGGUAGUCCACGCCCUAAACGAUGAUUACUCGACAUACGCGAUAUACAGUGUGUGUCUGAGCGAAAGCAUUAAGUAAUCCACCUGGAAGUACGAUCGCAAGAUUG